UGGGGAAUCUUGGACAAUGGGCGCAAGCCUGAUCCAGCGACGCCGCGUGGGCGACGAAGGCCUUCGGGUUGUAAAGCCCUUUUCCCGGGGAAGAUGGUGACGGUACCCGGGGAAUAAGCACCGGCUAACUCCGUGCCAGCAGCCGCGGUAAGACGGAGGGUGCUAGCGUUGUCCGGAAUCACUGGGCGUAAAGGGCGCGCAGGCGGGCCGGCGAGUCGGGCGUGAAAGCCCGGGGCUCAACCCCGGAACGGCGCUCGAGACCGCCGGCCUGGAGGCCGGGAGAGGGGGGUGGAAUUCCCAGUGUAGAGGUGAAAUUCGUAGAUAUUGGGAGGAACACCGGUGGCGAAAGCGGCCCCCUGGCCCGGACCUGACGCUGAGGCGCGAAAGCGUGGGGAGCGAACAGGAUUAGAUACCCCCGUAGUCC
rnacentral:rRNA from 1 species